UACAGAGGUGGCAAGCGUUGUUCGGAAUUACUGGGCGUAAAGGGCGCGUAGGCGGUCUUGCAAGUCCUGUGUGAAAUCCCUCGGCUCAACUGAGGAACUGCACAGGAAACUGCUUGGCUUGAGUUCGGGAGAGGGAAGCGGAAUUCCGGGUGUAGCGGUGAAAUGCGUAGAUAUCCGGAGGAACACCGGUGGCGAAGGCGGCUUCCUGGACCGACACUGACGCUGAGGCGCGAAAGCGUGGGGAGCGAACAGG
rnacentral:rRNA from 1 species